rnacentral:rRNA from 1 species
CUGUCAAGUCCCGUCUUACCUAUCAACGCCGUACGGGUGUUGGGAAACCAUUGGCCCCGGAGAUUGGUUGCUGGAACACGUAUCCAGACCCUACGGGGUGCAGCAGGCGCUGUAAACUGGCCAAUGCGAGAAUUCGUGACCAUGGAACUCCCAAGUGCGUAAGGGUAAGACCUACGCUUUCUUGACUCUUCAAAGGUCUUGGAAUAAGGGUUGGGUAAGGACGGUGCCAGCCCCCGCGGUAAUACCGGCGCCUCAAGUGGUAGUCGCUUUUAUUGGGCCUAAUACGUCCGUAGCCGGUCUGGUGCAUUCGUGGGUAAAUCAACCCGCUCAACGGGUUGAAUUCUGCGAGCACGGCCAGACUUGGGACCGGGAGAGGUGUGGGGUACUCUCAGGGUAGGGGUAAAAUCCUGUCAUCCUGAGAGGACCACCUGUUGCGAAGGCGCCACACUAGAACGGAUCCGACGGUCAGGGACGAAACCUAGGGGCACGAACCGGAUUAGAUACCCGGGUAGUCCUAGGUGUAAACGCUGUGGACUUGAUGUUGGGGGCGCUCCGAGCGCUCUCAGUGUCGAAGCGAAGGUGAUAAGUCCACUGCUCUGGGGAGUACGGUCGCAAGGCUGAAAUCUCA